AUACGGAGGGUGCGAGCGUUAAUCGGAAUUACUGGGCGUAAAGGGUGCGUAGGCGGCUUGAUAAGUCGGAUGUGAAAGCCCCGGGCUUAACCUGGGAAUUGCAUUCGAUACUGUCAGGCUAGAGUAUGUCAGAGGUUGGCGGAAUUCCUGGUGUAGCGGUGAAAUGCGUAGAUAUCAGGAGGAACACCAGUGGCGAAGGCGGCUAACUGGGGCAAUACUGACGCUGAGGCACGAAAGCGUGGGGAGCAAACAGAAUUAGAAACCCUAGUAGUCC
rnacentral:rRNA from 1 species